CGAGAAUCUUCGGCAAUGGGCGAAAGCCUGACCGAGCGACGCCGCGUGCGGGAUGAAGGCCUUCGGGUUGUAAACCGCUGUCGUAGAGGAGGAAAUGCGUUGGGGUUCUCCCCAUCGUUUGACCUAUUCUAGGAGGAAGGACGGGCUAAGUUCGUGCCAGCAGCCGCGGUAAGACGAACCGUCCAAACGUUAUUCGGAAUUAUUGGGCUUAAAGGGUGCGUAGGCUGUGCAGUAAGUUGGGUGUGAAAUCCCUCGGCUCAACCGAGGAACUGCGCCGAAUACUGCUGCGCUAGAGGAAGAUAGGGGUAAGCGGAACGGAUGGUGGAGCGGUGAAAUGCGUUGAUAUCAUCAGGAACACCGGUGGCGAAGGCGGCUUACUGGAUCUUUUCUGACGCUGAUGCACGAAAGCUAGGGGAGCGAACG
rnacentral:rRNA from 1 species